UUUCAAACUUACAGAUCAGGGAGUAUUUUUCUUAACGGAAAGGUUUAACAGUAGUUAUGAUAUUAGAAAUCCUUGGUCAGAACCUGUAAUGAGUAUGAAAUCACUACACAAAAUGAUGUGGUUUCACAUCACAGAUCAAACCCCACAAGAGUUUGCUUGGAACCUCCCAAGACGGUGAUGAACUGAACUAAUGGCUAAUCUCAUCAGAGCUCAUUUCGUCAAACCCAAAAAGGAAAUGCCCAUCAACUGGGACUCUCCGUGAUAAAGAAGAUGAUGAGCCUGCCUGAACACCUCCUUACUCUGAGGAGCUGCUCUGAGUUUUUCUUUUGCAGGAGGAGGAGGCUCUUUUCUUUCAUUUUACCUGAGUUCACAUUGUCCAUACUGGACAACUUGACUUCUUUUCUUUUUUUAUUUUUAAUUCAAGAGCACUUUGGAAAUGAAACUGACUGGAGACUGACACAGAAUGACCUGUCUGAAUGAAGCUGGCUAAUUGACUGUAAGCCAGAGGAAAGCUGAACUUGAGGAACAAACUAAAAAACUCGAGACUCGUAAACAUCCCAAAGACAUUUUCCUACUUAAAUUUCAGUUUUCUGUAAACCUCAAAUGGAUUGUGUUUGCAUCUUGCAAUAAAUAUUUGUAUGCGCUGUA